GAUGAACGCUGGCGGCGUGCUUAACACAUGCAAGUCGAACGAAGCACUUUUACAGAUUUCUUCGGAAUGAAGUUUUAGUGACUGAGUGGCGGACGGGUGAGUAACGCGUGGGUAACCUGCCUCACACAGGGGGAUAACAGUUGGAAACGGCUGCUAAUACCGCAUAAGCGCACAGUACCGCAUGGUACGGUGUGAAAAACUCCGGUGGUGUGAGAUGGACCCGCGUCUGAUUAGCUAGUUGGCAGGGCAACGGCCUACCAAGGCGACGAUCAGUAGCCGACCUGAGAGGGUGACCGGCCACAUUGGGACUGAGACACGGCCCAAACUCCUACGGGAGGCAGCAGUGGGGAAUAUUGCACAAUGGGGGAAACCCUGAUGCAGCGACGCCGCGUGAGCGAAGAAGUAUUUCGGUAUGUAAAGCUCUAUCAGCAGGGAAGAAGAAAUGACGGUACCUGACUAAGAAGCA
rnacentral:rRNA from 1 species